rnacentral:misc_RNA from 1 species
GAUGAAGAACGCAGCGAAAUGCGAUAAGUAAUGCGAAUUGCAGAAUUUCCGUGAGUCAUCGAAUCUUUGAACGCACAUUGCGCCCGCUAGUAUUCUAGCGGGCAUGCCUGUUCGAGCGUCAUUUCAACCAUCAAGCCCCAGGCUUGUGUUGGAGCCCUGCGGCCGUCCGCAGCCUCCUAAAAUCAGUGGCGGGCUCGCUAUCACACCGAGUGCAGUAGUUUACUCUUCGCUCAGGACGUGUAGCGGGUUCCGGCCGUGAAACCCCCCAAUUUUCAAGGUUGACCUCGGAUCAGGUAGGAAUACCCGCUGAACUUAAGCAUAUCAAUAAGCGGAGGA